rnacentral:rRNA from 1 species
CGAGUGCCUCAAGCGUUAUCCGGAAUUAUUGGGCGUAAAGGGUGUGUAGGCGGUUAUGUUAGUCCUGUGUUAAAACCUUCAGCUUAACUGAAGAUCUGCAUGGGAGACGGCAUAACUCGAGGAUGCGAGAGGUGAAUGGAACUCUAAGUGUAGGGGUGAAAUCCGUUGAUAUUUAGGGGAACACCAAAAGCGAAGGCAAUUCACUAGCGCACUCCUGACGCUGAAACACGAAAGCGUGGGUAGCGAAUGGGAUUAGAUACCCCAGUAGUCCACGCCCUAAACGAUGAUCAUUAGUUCUUCGGAGUAUCGACCCUCUGAGGGACGUAGCUAACGCGUUAAAUGAUCCGCCUGGGUAGUACGACCGCAAGGUUA